rnacentral:rRNA from 1 species
GAUGAACGCUGGCGGCGUGCUUAACACAUGCAAGUCGAACGGAAAGGCUCCUGCUUGCAGGGGUACUCGAGUGGCGAACGGGUGAGUAACACGUGGGUGAUCUGCCCUGCACUUCGGGAUAAGCCUGGGAAACUGGGUCUAAUACCGGAUAGGACGAUGGUUUGGAUGCCAUUGUGGAAAGUUUUUUCGGUGUGGGAUGAGCUCGCGGCCUAUCAGCUUGUUGGUGGGGUAAUGGCCUACCAAGGCGUCGACGGGUAGCCGGCCUGAGAGGGUGUACGGCCACAUUGGGACUGAGAUACGGCCCAGACUCCUACGGGAGGCAGCAGUGGGGAAUAUUGCACAAUGGGCGCAAGCCUGAUGCAGCGACGCCGCGUGGGGGAUGACGGCCUUCGGGUGGUAAACUCCUUUCGCUAGGGACGAAGCGCAAGGGACGGUACCUGGAGAAGAAGCACCGGCUAACUACGU